rnacentral:misc_RNA from 1 species
UCGCCGAUGAUAAUCGGCGCAGUCUGACUAGAGACCUUGAAGUUUCCUCCAAGCAACUAGUCACAGGGGUUGCGCUCGUUGCGGCACUUAAGCCAACAUCUCACGACACGAGCUGACGACAGCCAUGCAGCACCUGUCUAUCCCCAGCACCCUUUCGGGCCGUCACCGGCUUUCACCGGCUUUCACGAUAGAUGUCAAGGCCAGGUAAGGUUCUUCGCGUUGCAUCGAAUUAAGCCACAUGCUCCACCGCUUGUGCGGGCCCCCGUCAAUUUCUUUGAGUUUUAACCUUGCGAUCGUACUUCCCAGGCGGCUCACUUAUCGCGUUAGCUUCGGCACGCAGGGGGUCGACUCCCCGCACACCAAGUGAGCACCGUUUACGGCUAGGACUAC